UACGGAGGGUGCAAGCGUUAUCCGGAUUCACUGGGUUUAAAGGGUGCGUAGGUGGGCAGUUAAGUCAGUGGUGAAAUCUCCGGGCUCAACCCGGAAACUGCCAUUGAUACUAUCUGUCUUGAAUAUCGUGGAGGUAAGCGGAAUAUGUCUGUAGCGGUGAAAUGCUUAGAUAUGACAUAGAACACCAAUUGCGAAGGCAGCUUACUACCCGAAUAUUGACACUGAGGCACGAAAAGCGUGGGGGAUCAAACAGG
rnacentral:rRNA from 1 species